rnacentral:rRNA from 1 species
CAGCGUCGGGUCAUUACGUCCCGGGGGUAGAGCUACUGGAUGCUUGCGGGCCCGUAUCGGGUACCAACAGCAACCAAACUCCGAAUACCGGUGACGCGUAUCCCGGCAGUGAGUCGGCGGGGGAUAAGCUCCGUCGUCGAAAGGGAAACAGCCCAGACCGUCGUCUAAGGUCCCGAAGCGUGUGCUAAGUGGGAAAGGAUGUGGAGUCGCAUACACAGCCAGGAGGUUGGCUCAGAAGCAGCCA